CUAAGUAGUAUAAGAGGUGUUUUAA
rnacentral:piRNA from 1 species